CAUAAAGAGAACCGCUCAGCUUCGAUGCUGGCUCAAGCGCUAUUGUGCUUCCUACUGUAUGGGUGCUUGGUAUGUGCUGACAGGCUGCAGCUGCCGACAGCGCAAUCCAACACAAUUGUUCAUUGUGGGAAGGAUCUGUCUGUUCAGACUCUGCUGCCGCGGCCCAUCACCUGUCCCACAAGAUGGUCAAGUCCAAACUUUAUGUAAGUGAGCAAACACUGGAGCUUCCCGUCAUAUCUGGAGAAGUGAGCUACCCAGAUCAGUGUCAAGGACUGAUGGCUGCAGCGGGGCUGCUCAGGUCAAAGGAGAUGUUGCUCGGACUUUGAGAAAAGUAAUAAUGUCUCCUCUGUUCAGAGCGACACAGUACUUAAGAGCAUGGCCAAUCUUCAUCUUAACUUGUCAAAUCUGUCCCAUCAGAAUCUUCCAAAAUGAUUGGCAUGUAGGUUGUCAGAAGUGAGGUCUGCAGGACCGAGAGGGGCCACUAUGUUUUCUGUUCCUAAGAACUCUAAGGGCCAGCUUUAUGAGACUUAACUAUUCACGACCCAGCUCAAUGGUGAUGAGUUCACGUAGGAACACAAAUGAAAAUUUCCUGGGAGACUGUUUGGGAUAACCACGAAGUGUAACCAUCAUUGAAGAUAAUUUUGUAUGUUUUUGUCAAGUACAAACCCACAUGGCCAAAGUGUUACCUAAAAAAUUACUGCAAAAUCCUCUGGAAAAAAUUAAAAAUUUUAAUAACCACUAACUCUAUAGUUCAUGACUUCAGGAAGCUGACAUUCUUAUUAGUUUAGAAUACCCAGAGAAUUUUGAGAGUCAAGAGGAAGUUUGUAGGAUUUUGCAGUGAAAGGAUCAUCUCCAUUCUUGUUGUACUUUGGUGGACAUCUAACUUCGGAUGCAAGAAAGGACCUUCAUAAGAUGCUUUCGAAAAUGUUGUCAAUGACAGACUGGUAAAAAUGAAGAAACAGUAACAAAACCAAUACCUUCAAGACAAGAAAACUGGUAUGAAAAAUUGUAGGAUGGGGAACAUGAAGGCACAUGCUUCUCUGGGGCUGGCACAGGACAAAGGGCAUUGACAACUGCAUGUUGAUCAUCUAAUUAGUUUCUAUCUGCCUGAAUCUUCUGCCUUUGAUAUGGGUGGUGUUGAAGAUAAUAGUGAGAUGUGGAAUGUCAUCUAGACACACGUGCACUGUGUGGUAUUGGCAAGAUCCCACCUUUCUCCUCAUCUCUACCCCAGAUGCCAGGACACUUAUCUGAAAGUAGUGAUGAUGUAACCCCAUCUGCCCACCCAAAGGCGCUGAAGGUUGACGACAUGAUAUACGGGGAGGUCUUGAGUUUCUCCAGAUAACAGGCUAAUGGCAAUAUGAAACGCCACUCAGCAUGCUACUGAAAGCGAGAUUUAUUCCCCACCACCGAACUCUGUCCCACAAUUGAAAUUACUUAAAAGUAUCAAAUUCUAAACUGCUCUUUCUUUUGUUUCUAAGAUGCAAAUGGCAUAGAAUAGCAGCAGGGCUCAAGCAGCAGUGAAAGAAUGCCGGAUCCACAAACAACAGCCAGGGCUCUUGUUCUACCUUUUUUCCCGAGCUAAAUAUUUUUAUAGUUGAACACAAAUAGUUUGCAAACACUGACUUACAGAGACAGAGACUGUCCUUGGAACACCUCUGAGAUUUGGGGAAAAUCAGGGAGGAGUUGAGACAGGGAGAAGACCAGAUUAUAGAACAACACGCAGUUGUAAUCUUCAAGUCUAUUUGGUGCAGGGUAUAUAAGGAUGAAGACCUAAUCCUUUGGAGCCUAAGUUUCCUGGCUUGUAAAGUGGGAAUAAUAAUGCUUAUUCAACAAGAAACUUCAACUUUUGGAAAGUGUAAAGUGCCGUGAACAUAGCAUUAGUUUAAUAAAUGGUCUUAUUAUUAAUAAUAGUAGUAUUUGAUAUGUUGCUUGCUAAUGUAGUGACUACGUAUGCACACUAUGUGGGAGUCUUUAUGCAUGACCUACUUAAAAGAAUUUAACUGGCAUUCAAUUAUUUUUUAUAUAUGGAGUUAUUCAUAAGUAUUUAGGAAAGCUUAACUAUUAUUAGAUGUUCUCCUAAGAAUUCUGGUCUGUCUUAAAAAAGCCCCUAAAACAUUUUUCACAAGUCUGAAGAGAAGUCGAGAAGAACAGUCUUCAUCAGUAUCAUUUCUAACAAGAAUUAUCCUGCGUGCUGAGUUUCCGGGGCACCGAUCUCACUUUGGGGACCUGUACAAGUGACUUAUCUGGUAAGACAUUCAGUGGCUCCCUUUGUUGGCUGCGAGGCGUUUGCUCUCUGAUGACAGAUCUGACGUUAGACUGUCAGCCCUUCGCUGGAUGAGAAGAGGAAACCUAGGCCGUGCAGACUGCUGCCUGCAGCUGAUGCUCCGGGUUUCCAGUGAAGGCAUAGUUGUGUUCCUGAUUCCUUCUCUGAGCCCCAUCAAGAUCUGGGAUGGAAGUGGCUCUCUUUCAUGGAGACUGAGUCUACUCCUGCCUGCAGCAUGGGUGGCCUAUACAGAGGCCUCACUCCAAUGUCUGAUGACUUUGCCUUAUGCUCUGGAAUCUACUUCUGGCGACCUUGGUGAUUAUUCAUGAAACGCUAGCCAUUCUAGAGUUUAAGUCACUUGGGACUGCCAUCAUCAAGCUGAGGGGGUAGGAAACAAGUCAGAGCCCCUUUCUCAAGGCAGGUGAAUUCUUUGUGGUGAUAGGAUUCUCUUUUUCCUGGGGCUCAGCCAGGAAAUCUUGCUAUUUUUCAAGCACUGACCAGUUCUGAAUGUUGAUUCACUCACGAGUAUGAGUCCUUUUUUUUUUUAUUCAAAGUUUAUUAAAUUAAAAAAGUUUCCAUAAGCAUCUUAGGAGCAGUGCAGGGUGCGAGGAGCCUUCCUUCUCUCCCCCUAGGCAUUCUGCUACCUUGCCUAGAACAGGGUAGUGUUGGUGGCAUUACACUAAUCUGUUGUCCUUGCCUGCUUCUCACCUAGGUGACUCAGAGCUGGAGAUUUUGGGGAGGAUAGGGCAAAGGGAUGAGAAGAAGUCAACACUAUGUGACGGCUUUGCCUUGGAAUAUUUAAGCUUACACCAGUCCUGUGAGGUACACUUUAUAGCAUAAUAAUAAAAAAAACAAACAUUGUCAAACAGAAGGGGAAGUGGGCCCAAGGAUGCACUCUUAAACAAGAAGCUGUUUGUAACUGAUGCCUGCUGGAAGGGGACAUUAAUUUUCUCCAGAGGAGUGACAUUGGGUAUAUCAAGCCCCCAAGUCCGGGGCAUGCUUAGGAGCAGUGUGUGUGUGUGUGUGUGUGUGUGUGUGUGUGUGUGUGUGUGUGUGUCUUUGUUUUUGUUUUUGAGACAAAGAACAUGAAGUUGGGUAGAUGCGGGGAUGGUGAGGAUCUGAGAGGAGUUGAAGGAGAGAAUGUAAUCAAAAUGUGGCACAUAAAUUAAGAAAAAUAAAUGAACAAAACAAAACAAA